GUGUGUGUGUGUGUGUGUGUGUGUGUGUGUGUGUGUAACGAUGGUGUGAAACACGGCCCGGUGCUGAGCUGUGCGAUGGGGGCAGUGCCGGCACAGCAGCACUGCGUGUGUCUGAGUUAUGAUCAGCUCUUCUUAAUUGAGAUUAAACUCGCUUCAGCUUUUGCUUUUUGUAGCCUCCCGUUGCUCCUGUUUCUAUUACUGUUACUUUCUCCAUGCUUUGCUCUGGGGCCGUUCUCCAUGUGCUCCCAGCAGUGUGUGUGCUGUGCGCUGUGCGGAGCAGCCGAGCAGCGCUGCCCUCCAUCCGUCUAUUGCCGAGGGUGAAACCAGGUUCCUGUGGUGCUGCCGCAGCUCCAUUAACGCGGGUGAUUAAACCCCGGGGGUAUUUUCCCACCCUCAGUAAAACCCGUGAAGGUGCGUUGGUAGGAAUCGUUCCUUUUCUUGCUGGUGACUGAACUAAGUCUGUAAAGCGCUGCUGGAUGCACCUGGGCAGCCCCCGCCUGCCUUCCAUUCAAGCAGAGCAAAUGCAAUGAGCAGCGCUCGUACCCGUUCUGAAGGGCUGGUGCACUUGAAAAGAACGGGAUGAUUCUGUCCCGAGUCUCAGUGUGAGGAAAGGCCGCGUGGUUUCUUUCUCCUGUUUCUGAGAAUCAAAACCAUUAUGUGCAAUUCAGCCACCUUUGAUUCCUCAGUCGGUGCUGAUCUGGGGAUAAGUGCGAUCGCCGGAGAGAAGAAAGGAGUGGAAGUGACCUUGGUGACCACAUCCCAUUUUAGAAAGCCGGAAUAUUCAUUGUAUUUUUAGGAGGUAUUAGGAGAAAGUAAGUAGGUUAUGGUGAAAAUAACUGUUUGGUGGAAGCGAUGGGAAGUUUGGCUUAAUUUGGUGAUGGUUUCAUUUGUGGGGUGAAAUAGAGCUGGGGUGAAUGAGGGGAGCUCCCUUCUUAGAGGCACGGAGGCCGGUGUCUGUCUCUUGGCCGGUGUUCCCAUUUUUCCAGUAAGCUGUCUGCCAUACGGAGGUGUAUAACCCUAAUGGCUUGUUGUAUGCCAUUAAAAGGUAUUGUACACUCAUAAAAGAAUGACAUUUUGAUCAAUGCUGUUAAAAGAAUUACUGUCUUGACACAGAAAAGCUUUCCUGCUGCAAGUUUAAAAAUAUGCCUUUAAAAGCUUUUUAUUGAAUACCUUUGCAUCUCUCAGAAAUGUGCCAUUUUGGCACGGGGCUGUUCUGAAGUAUUCCACGUUGUGCCCUAAAUGCAAGACCUUCUGUUUACCAUCAGAAGGGAGGGAGGCGAGGCAGGUGUAUUCACUUAACUGCUGUCAUGGGGAUGAAGGAAAAAGCACCUUGAGCUAGACUUGUAUGCAGUCUAAAAAUAAGAACUCCAAGCUAUUAAAGAGUCCAAAACCAUUUGAAAGCUGUUUGUUUUUUGUUUUGCCAUUGAUUCCUGCAUGUCCCUCCAGCUUUGUUUGGGUGUCCCUUCGGACUCUGAAAUGUAUUGAUGUUGUACGGAGGCAGGUGGUAGACAGGAAAACCACAACAUCGUCGCUGCAGCUGGAGCCCUGCUCGCGGGCAGGUUGGCUGCAUUUAGACAAACUUGGGUUGGAGAUUCUAGGUGGCUCUGUCGUGCUAUACAAUUCUUCCUAGCAGAAGGGAGAUUUCUGCUAUGGAAAGUACUGGAACUGCUGAUUAGUUACAGCUACAGAUGUAACGUUGUUUUGAAAAUGGCUGAAAUCACAAUGUUGGAUGUGGUUCAGCUGUAGCUGCUGUUAAGAAUGGCUGCAGGGUGGGACCUGAGGAAUCCCCUCCUCACCCAGCAUUGCUGCAGCUCCGUCCAUCCCAGGGCUGCGUAACACCCCUGGCUCAAACGAGUGUGAAAGCUGGGGAGCCUGGAGGUUCACACACAGCUCCUCAGCUGUGUCAUGUCUGUGUGCAUCUCAUGUGUUCCCUCAGUUUCAGGCCUUCCAUUGUUUAGCUGGCACGUGAUGUAUUAAAUGCUUUCUAUAAGGAUAAAGGUGGAUGGUUUGAGUGAAAGAGCACCGUGGAGCUGUGCUGUUGAUAGGAAGAGAUUCCAGGCUACUCAUCUGAGGCUUCUUUAUUUUUCUCUUUCUUAUAUAUUUAUGGCCAAACCAAAGCAAUACAUGCUCUGGUAUGUCUCAUGUCCUGCCGUGGGUUUGUACCAGGUGGAGAACAGCAGAGUGCUGAAUGAUACUUCAAUACAUUGGAUGAAAAAAAGCUGUGUAACUUAUGGUGGAAUUUUGUUCCUUUGAUGACAGCAGAACAUCUUGUUGUACUGGAUGUAAGCAGCUCCUUUAAGUACAGCUUUUUAAGAUUUCUUUCAGGAAAAGGAAAUGUUAAUACUGUGCAUUAUCUGCAAAGCAUUGUACAAAGGGAAGAAGCAGGAGAGCUCGGGUGUAUAGGUGAUGGGAUGAAAGAACCCUUUCUCUUUUGUUUUGAUAUUUAAUUGAUAUAACCUGGAAACGUUUAUUUAGUGUUUAGCCUCAUCUGCAAAUAAGUAUUGAGGCCUAUCUGUUCCUAACCCACUUGAUGUGUCAUGUUGAUUUUGAGUUUCUUAAUCAAAUGUCAUUUUUCAUCAAGUCAACUGCCUUAUAAAAAUCUGCUAUAUCUGUGCUAUUAAUUAGCAAUAAACUUUUAAUUAAAAAUUAAGCUAAUCCAAGAAUGUAUCUCCUGAAAAUUCAUGUAAUUAGCAUUACAUUACUCUCUUCAGUUUUUCUUAUCUGGAGCCCCUUGUUGGCCAUUCUGUGACUCUGAGAACUGUGUCAGAUGGAGCAGACUGCAGUUCAUCGAGUCACCAGAUCUCCUUUAAAUUAAAAAAAAACAAACCGUGAUUGUUUCUCUCUGUCCUCUCCAAUACAUCGUGUUUUCCAAGGCACACUUAAAAUGAGUGAGAAUGGUCCUAACAGCUCUCCUGACAGGUUCCCUUCAUUUAAUCACUCUGGGAAUUGGAACCUAGAUCUCAAUUCUUCCCCAUUUGGUUCAAGCUACUCAGUAAAUAAACUCUUCAGUUUAUAUUUGAUUAAUAUUUUGAUGUAAGUUUCUACAGCUGUGAAAAACAGAAAUACAAAUUUUACAGCUAAAGCCAAAUCUGUAGAAACUGAUCAUUCAAGUAAAAUGUAAUCAACCCACCCAGCACCGAGGCUAAUUAUGUGAUACCGAUAUCCAGAUCACACAGUUCUUAGCCUUCACAUUGGUUGAAUUGCUUUAUGGAGCUGGUGGGAGUAGAUUCCUGGGCAAUUCAGGAGGGCAGUCCGCUUCAUAGGACAUUACAGAUCUGUUAAACACCUGCUUUCAUGCGCCAAUAACUGACUUCCUGGUGAGAUGCAUAUGAAACACAUGAUUUUCCUCAUUGAUCAAAAUUUUGUUCAGCUCUUAUGCAGGAGACAAACCUGAAGAGAACAGCAACUGGAGGUGAAGCGUUUCAGUAAGAGCAGUACAGAGCGCCCCAGAGCAAAAUGGUGUUCGUCUGUGGGAAGAUUUAUGAAAAAUAGAUGUGGUAACUCAAAAGGAAAACAAGGUGGGAGGUGGAUACCUAAUGAGUAUCUCCAGGGAAUAAGCAGAUCAGUAAAAUCAGUAACAUGGGACUGGGAAGGUGUCUGCUUUAUUGUUCACUGUAGUCUUGGGAAACACCCUUCUGCCAUAACUUGUGGUAAGGGCAUAUUCUGAAAUCUGGAAGGUUUGUAGAGUUUUCCUUACAUUGCAGUAACGUUGCUGAAAAGGAGUAAAUUAAACAGUAGCUCUGAGUUGGGUUUGCUUUGAAGUCUAGAACUUUGAUUGCAGGGUGGGUGUAUAUUUCCUGGUCAUGGGCCUUUGCUGAGGAGUAGGGGAUGCUUUGGUGAAUCACAUACUGACAUAGAGACGGUUCCUUCUGCUUCCCUUCUAUCUUUAGAACGCAGUCUGAGGGAUGUUUUCUUUGUAGCUCCUGUGUUGGGGCUGUGGGGAUUUCAAAUCUUUCAGUGGAGGAAAAAACAAAACAAAAAAAAAAGGUAGCAUUAAAUUCAGUUCAGAGUCUGAUAUUUGUUUUAUUAGUGGAAAUUUUUGUCUCAUGUGUCUUCCCCGUUCUAGAGAACCUUUUCUUGUCAUCUAAGAAAUUAAUUUCUUUGUUGGAAUCAUUGCAGGUAAACCUGAUAGCAAGAGUGCUGUUAUUGAGGCAGCUUACACAGUGAUUUGCUAAGUACAGCCUCUUCAUAUAAUGUGAAGCAGAAGUCGAUUUAUUGACCACUUCUGGGAUUUCAGGAAUCUGUUGAACUACCUGUUUUUUAUCCUUCUCUCAUAAAAUUUACCAUGAAUGCCUUUUUUUUUUCCUGGCGCACUCUUGGAAAGGAUUCUCUCUGAUGCCCAGCCAUACAAUAAGAGCAAUCAGUGUUUGCUACUUGCUUCUGUACAACAGUUUGACUUUAUUAAAAAGCAUAUAUGAGGUCAUUUAAGGUCGCUUUUGUGACAUCAGACUCCUUAAAGGCUUUUCCUUAUAUACUUUUCAAUGCAAAUAGGACACCAAUGUUUAUCUGGGCCGGGCAGUUACUGGCUCGUUGGCCACGUUGUCGAUCCUCCUCAGAGAAUGUGUUUAAGCUGGAGAAAAACAUCAUGAAAAAGUCAACUCCAUUGCGUGCACAUUAUCGCUUGUGUUGCAAUACAUCUCUCCCGUAAGAUAUAACCUGUCACUUCUCUGGAAUCCUAUGAAAGCAUUUCCUUAUGUAGUUUGAUUAGAUUUUGCUAUUUGCUGUGCAUGCAUAAUGAUUUAUUACACUUUUUUUCUGAACUUUCUUCUCUGAAGUAAGGUGAAUGUUGGGAACGGAAGGGAUUUGAGUUCUCUCUGGUGACCUGUAAAAACAGAGUUGUAAAAACUGACUCUGAGUGAACUGCAUGAAGUGGGUUAUUGAUUCCUCGGGGAUGAGGAGAGAGUGUUUUUGUUCAGCCCUUCCCAAUGCUUCAGAUUUUAUACAAAUACAGAGAGGCUUUGGGUGAGGUGUUCGUUGUCUUGAUUAACAGACAAUGUCAGAGAGAUCAUCGUCUUACCUCUUGUUCAGAUGCUGGAGUUCUGACAACUCUUCCUAUAUGCUAUUGCAUACAGUGUGCUGGAGUUCACAUGCUCAGCCACGGCAAUUGGAAUAUUUAUAGGUGUGGUCUCUGGUAGUAACAGCCAGGACACAAAAUGCACUUAUCUUCUGUGCAAGAUGUAUCACUGGCAUGUGGUGUCUGGCCGCAGUGUAACACUGCCUGGAACCAAGGAGGCUGUUAUUAAAAUGUCUGUAGUGCUGCUGCUGGCACUACAGGAGCAAUGGGAAGCUGCAGUCAGGGGAGCAGAAGUGUUGGAAGGGCUGAGAUCGUUGCAGGCAACCAAAGGGGAAGACAUUGCCAAGUGUGAGGGUGGGCAAAGCCUGUCCAGGCAUGUGCUACAGAAUCUUCUACAAAUUCUUCCUUAUGCAGAAAUUUAAUUCAGGAAAGUGGAAAAAUGGGUGUCUUCCAGUCUUCCUCAUUAUUUUUGCUGUUUUUACUAAUUUUGGAGAGAUUUCUUAAUUAUUUUGAUUAAUUUCUCUGGAUUGUGGGAAGUUCUUAGCAGAUUUGACUUUUUUCUGCUCUUGCCAAUUGCAGAUGUUAGCAAGGGGUGCAGAAAGCUGUUCAGGAACACACUUCUGACAGGUUGUAUGGGGUGAUUAUCGCACGGCACGCUUACUUUUAUUCCCUCUAUAAUCUACAUGGAAAAUGUGAUCUCUGCAAGUGAAAAGCUGGGACAUCAAUCUGCCUUUGAAAUUCAGCAUCGUGUUCAGUACAGAGCUUCCUUCUGUGUGCUUAGCUGUUCAGUCAGAGCCCCAAACUCUGUUUUUCACUAAUGCUUUGUCAGAGAGCUGUCCUCUUCAGAGAGAUUGAAAUGAGUAAUAGUCUUUCGACACUAUUGGCAAGUGGCUUUCACGGUCCAUGGCAGAUCUAAUGAACUACAGCUGCCUGCUUGGAAAAUCCUGCCUUUGAUUGCCUGAAAGGAGACUUCUGAAGUCUCUGCUUGGAUUCACUGACUUUCUUAGGAUUUUCCUUUUCUUAAGAAGAGGAUGGGGGAAAAAUUCUCCUUCAUAAUCUAACAUUCACGAAUCUUGAUUUAGGGUAAUGGUGAUUCUGCUCAGUAAAAACUGCAGGACUGACACGCAGUAUAGACAUGCUUGGAAAUGUAAAUACAGGGGACACGCCUGGCUGUGAAAAGUAUGUGUGUAAACGAGCUUCCACGCUCAACACAGAUCUGCCACCAGCAGAGACUGCAAACCUCUUUUCCACAGGGAGGGAUUCCGGAAGGAGCCGUUCCACAGCCAGGGUGUGCGUGGGCAGAAGAUGCUCCAUGUUGGACAGCAGUGCUGCACAUGGGGGUGUCCUCACCAGCCUGGGAGCAAAGCUGGGCAGGAGGCCUGGCAGCCCACGUGCACCCACCCAUCCCCAUUUGGAAACUGGACCACUCUGAAGGUGUCUGAGCGAGAGCUGAGUGGCGGUGGGGUUUGGUCGGAUGGAUUUUGGGUGGUGAGGUUUGGCUUGGUUUUUGUAAAACUGGCCAAGAAUAUGAAUGUAUUUUCCUUGAUAAACAUAUCUUUCCUAUUCUAUGUGACAGAUAGGGCAGGAAACAAUUUCACAAAGCAAUCUAUACAAUUUUAAGGUAAUAUGAUAUAUAUUUUUGUCCUCUUCCAUCUAUAAUUCUGUUUAUUCGGCUGAAAAACCGAAGUUUGGAGGAUAGCUUACUACAAACCACAGGCAAGUUGUACAAUUUUAGUUGUAGAUGUGCCCCUCCAGGUUUAUUUUCAUGAUAUAUCUUCUUUCAAUUGAAAUUAGUCUCUUACAGAGUUUUGCAAGCAAUAUUAGAUGUGGAUCCUCAUAGUAAAGAACUGUGUUCCUAUGCUUUUUUCCUCCUGGUUUUGCUUGCUUUCCAGCUUAAUCUCUGCUUUCCAUUUUGUUGCUUUUUGCACAACUCCUACUCAUUUUGGUUUGUCUCUUAUUCGAGGGAGCUGUUGUCCUGCUUCAGAACUGAGGUAGGUUCUGGGAGCAGGAUCAAAUUCUUUUGCUCAUAGUGCUGGGCACUGCAUCUUUUCCAGCAAGCGAAGGACGAUAUUGCAAACUUACUCCUGAUGUUCCUGUUUGUAGUGAGGAAGUGCUGGUAGACAUAACCUGAGAUUUGCCAACAUUUUGUCUUUUAGCUCACAGGCAAGAGAUGGGAACUGCUGCUCAGGCUUCCUCCUCCAUUGCUGCCCCACUGAAGUCUUGCUGCAGCCCCGGGGCCUCCAGCCUGCUGGAGCUACAGAAGGGUCAGGUUCUGCCUUGCAGUCAGUGUCUCUUGGAGUUCUGCUGCUUAUCUGGAAGUAGAAAUCCAGGAUUUUGUGGUUCCAUUGUUAAAAACAAAACGUCAGUGGAACUUGCUGGGGAAAUGAACUUGUCAGCAGAGAAGCACAUUUGUUCAGUGUUAAGGCAAGGAUCAGUAGGAAUCCUAGCACUGAAGUGGUGGGGAUGACGCGAGCAUGAUUAAGUUCAGUAUGUUUUGGUGAUAAGGGUAUUUGUGCUAUGGUAUCUCUAUUCUCUUGGUUAAAUUGGUGAAAGUUAUGAUUCUUACCUUUCUGAUUCCCUCCUGUAGAAAGACGCUUUUUUCUCAUCUCUCCUUUCUUUGCCAUCAUCUCUUCUCUGCCAGGCAGUUAUCUGCAAAGAAGCCGAGCCCAAAGAUGGUGAGUGCACAAAGACUGUGCAUCGCAGCUUUGUGGUUCAGACACCACAAGGCAGCUUCUCCACUCUGUCUUUAAUUAAACUUGGGUUUUUCUGUUGUUGUAGCUGGAAGCAGUGUGCUGACACAACUCACUCUUGUAUAGAACAGAUUAAAAUGUCAAUGUUUUAAUGUUCUCGUCUGUGGGAAAAAAAGAAAAUAGUUGGGUGUUUUAUUUUUAACUUAAAAAGAGACUGUACUGUCGAAAAGGUUUACUUGUGUGGGUUGGAAAAUCACUUCAAAGAUUAAAGAUACAGAGCCCCAUUUAAUGUUAAGAGUCUGUAAAGGACUCUUUAGUGACAGGCUGCCAUCAGGCCGUACCAGAUUAAAACAAUAAUUAUAAACUUACUGUAAUUGUAAUCAUUCACUCUGUUCCGUUUUCUUCACGUUCAUGGCACAGUGUAGCACAUCUCAGGAGCCCAUGUGCCAAACUGGGGAAUGUGCUCGAGGGGUGGAACAGAACGGAGGUACCUGAAGAGAACAGUCAAAAGCCAGUGGUGGCCUCAGUGCUGUGACCUGUUCCUGGAGGAGGAAGCUUAUCUAUUUCCUAUGGGAGAAACGUUCACUGAACAACAGUAGAGUGGUGCAGCAACUGCAAGGGAGGAGUGUGAGCACAAUGGAACAUGGUGUUUUGAUGCCAGAAGCAUCUCAACUUGACAGAGGUAGCUUUGGUAACGGAAAAGUUACAAAUGUAAUUUCUCAUUCAUAACUCCAUCCGUGUUAUUGCUCUGCCUAAAACUUUAAAACUUGUUCCUGCUUCCCAUAAGAAGGCAAAAUAGGAAAAAAUAUUAAAUUGAUGUGAAAAAAUUUAGUCUAAUAUGUAUUUAAACUGUCCUAUCUGUUCAUGGGAGGAAGCAAAGAUUAAAGCUGCAAUACAACAGUCUUCCCUUAGAAAGUGAGCGGGGAGGAGGAAGUCAGUACCAAGGAAUGUUCUCACCAAAGACACCCCAAGCAGAAGCUUGCACCCUGCAAUUCUGGGGAUGCACUGCCUGUGACAUGCAGAAAUCCAUCUGAACUCUGACGCUGCUAAGGGUGGUCCUGCCAAGCACCGAUUGGCACCUGUGUGUGCGAGACGUUGGACCAUUUCCAGGCUACAGCUCAUGAGUUCUAUGUCCUCCAGCCCGUGUGGAUGAAUUGUUUGGUUUUCAUGUGAAGAUUCUGGCAAUCUCAGAUAUGUAGGAUGGAUCUCCUGUUAGCUGACCACCUCCCUGCCAUGGAGGAAGAAGAGUUUACUGGAAAUUCCAACACCAUUUUUAGAGACAACACCCAUGGAAAUGGACAUGGAUGACCAAAAUGGGAACAAUCAAAGCAAAUACAGUUUUCACUGUAUUUAGGUGUUCAGCAGUAUGAAUGAUGGUGGAGAGUUUAACAGUUGAGGACUGGAUGGUCUCAUUUCAGAAGCUCGGAGCUGUGCAGCAGGUACAGACUGUCGCCUUUUGCUUGGCAGAGGUCCUUGCACCACAUACCUGAGUAUUUAGGAAGAAGAAGCAACGGAUCUGAUCUUCAUCUCCGAGGAUUUGCUCUGUCUACAGAGACUUUUGGUGCACACUGUGAUACCUUCUAGGAGUACCUGCAUUUAAAAUCUCGCCCUUUUUCUGUAGGUGUUUACAGAGAGUGCCCUUCCCUGGCUCAGCGCCCGGUGCCAACAGAACACCUUGCAGGAUCCUCAGCAGCGCAGACAACACAACGUAAGUAGCCAGCUGUCCCUUGACGCCCUCUUCCAAAAGCCCUCCGGCCCCUGCAGAGUGUGUGCGGCUCUUUCCCUCGCUCGCCCUCCGGAGUGCCACCUGGGUUUCACAAGUAGCACCUUCCAAAUCUCUCUGUCUUCAAGUUUGUGCAUGUCUGUGUGGCAUCCCUCCUCCUCCUUCACUCCUAUAGUAGAUCUUGCAAAGGGCUUCAGAUCGGCCCCAUUCAUCUCCCUGGUGAUAGCAGUGAAUGUAGAUAAAUCUCUGACUGCCUGCUUGCUGCUGGAGUAUGAUUUUUAUUUUGUCUUCCGUGUAUACCUAGGUCAAAAAGUGGGAUGUAUGCUCACAUUGUGUGGAUGCAUGUGUGUGUGUGUGUCUCUGCAUGUGUGUAUGUGUGUGAAUGUGUCUCUCCCAAGCGCACAAACAUACAUCUCCUCACAUGUGUGCGUACAUAUAUUACACACGUGCACACAAAUAUACAUCCUCACACACGUAUGUGUGCACGCAGUACGCACACAUCUCCGCACACACGCGCGCACACACACACAUCUAAUCUGCAAUUAUCUGAGGCACUGUGUGCAUGUGUGUAUGUGUGUCCAUACGCACACUGCUCUGUGUGUGUGUAUGUGCAUACACAGGCAUCUCGCUAUCUACAAACAUUCCCUCUCCUCCCAGCAGAGGCUGUGUGCAACUGUGAUCCUGCCCUAUGACAGCAGUAUUCCUUCCUUCCCUCGGAGUGCUGUUUGGAGACCUUCGUGCUCCCCUCUCGGGUCCCUCCCGAGCUGCAGGGCUGGCACCUCUCCCUUGGCUUGUCCGAAUGGUGAAUGGCACCGUCCGUCGCCCACGUUGGUGCAGCCUCAGAUGGCACUUCUCUCUGGAUGUCGGCUGCUCCCUUUUGUUUGUUGUUGCCCAGGCUGGGUGUGGUGGGGCUUUUUUUGGAAUUAAUUGUAAACGAACCUGAAUGGCAAACACAACAGCUUGCGAAAAAAGAGGAAAGGAAAAAAAACAAACAACAAAAAAAAGGAAGCCCCUCACAAACGCCUUCUGCUGCGACAGAUGCCCAUGUUGCCCCUGGCACAGAAAGCGGGCACAAGGGGGUUGUUGCUGAGCUUUUUUCUUUUGCCAUCUUUAUUGUCCGCGUUGCUGUUUUCCCUUUAUUUUUGAAGCCUCCAAGAUGCCGGCCUCGGCGUGGAGCGGCGCGGUGUCAUGGCGGAGACGACGGCCUUUGUCUCGCGGGGUGUGAAAGCAUCCGUUGUGCUGGCUCCACUGCGGCAGAAUGACGUUCAAGGGGGAAACGUGCUGGAAGCCGGCGCGCUGUGCCCAUAGCCGAGCGUGUCCAAGGCAGGGCUGGCGGCGGAGAGCCUCGUCUGUAAUCCUGGCACUCGCGCCUCUGCUCGCUGCGCGCCGCUUGCUCCUGGGGGUCUGGAUAAUCUCCCUUAGCGUUACCGCACUGUCUGGCCCGCGCACAGGGCCCCCGUAACAUAUACCCGCUGCCGUUAUCACACGGAACUGUGGCGUUGCCACUGAAUGGAUGGCACUGUGCCAACUCUUCUGCCAUCCGCCCUUGCAGCUUUUUUUUCUUCCCUCCUCCCUCCCUCUCUCCCCUCCUCCUCCUCCUCCCGUCGACUUGACGUUAAUUAACACACGGGUUAAUUGAUUUUAAAAGCUGAAGAAUUACAGUUAACUUUUCCCACAGGGUACAGCCGCCUGGCACGGCGCUGCCUCUCGUGCGGUGCAGGGGGGCAGGGAUGCGCCCGCAGCAGAGCUGGGUGGCUGCGGAGGCUCUGUCUUUGGAGCACGGCGGAGGGAAGCUGAUGUGUGCCCGUCUCAUCCUGCCCAAGAUGUCACCAUCGUGUUUUGCGACAAACGAUCCCAAUGCUCCCUCCCCUCUGCGCUCGAUGGCUGCACGGGCUCUGCUGGAGGGGCAGCAGAAGGGCAGCUCGGCCGCAUGGCAGGGCUCCCAUCCACGCAAGCUGGAGGUGCUGAGGCGGGGAGCCUGCCCUUUUCUGCUUAUCCUGUUUUACAGGGCAUUUUUUGUCUCCUCGGUUGGCUCCAAUAUGUCACUUGGGGUGAAGAAUCUCAACCAGGGGAAAGUUAGAUGGUCGUCAUUACAGGCGGAAUACACCAUGUGAGGGCUUUGUUUUUUCGCUUUUGCUCUCCCUCGCCCCGGUCUCUGCUGGUGAAUGACGGUGCGGUUGGGAGGAGAUGCAGCGGGGCUGGGAACUCAUCGCUUCCACCUUCUCGUGCUUUCAUUUUAUUUCAUUUUGUUUUUUAAAAGCAUGAAGCAAGUGAAGCGACGAGAGGAAUCCAUUAUGCAAAUCAGGUCACAUUUGCAUAAUGUCUCAUGACUGGAAUAUGCAAAUGAGUUGUAUAAUUUAUGAGUGCCAGUGUCUGUCUAAAAGUGUUUCCCAGAAUUUAUAAAAAGUGAGACGUGGGGAGGGCAGCUGGGCUCGCUGCCCUGCCAGGAGGGCUCUGCGCUUUCUUUUCAAAGUCUUCCUUCAGACCAGCAGCUGAAAUGCUCCUUAAUGAGAAGCCAGCCCCCCCUGUUCCACACUGUCCCCCUCAUUUUCUUUUCUGCUUCUUGCUUUGCCAAGCCUGGACCUGCUUGCUCUGAACUUCUCCAGGAGGUGAUGGACCUGCAUGCUGGACCAGAACUCUAAAGCCACGCAGCUGUGAGCCGUCCGCUCCAUCCCUGCAUCUGUCUGGAUGCUUCCCAGCAGGGAGGCUGUGCCUUUCAGUCAUGCUGGCUCCAUGGGCACAGUGUGCAAGGAGUGGGUGUAGGUGUUUGCUUCCCACAGCACGGUGGAACUGCUGCUCAUCCAUAACGCACCGCAACCUGUGCCAAGAGACCCACCUUGACCUGCAGAGAGCAGCAAGGUCUGUGCAGGGCUGGCAGUGCCCUGGGAGACUGACCUCAGUCUUCCUGCCCUGAGCAGGCAGAGGCUAUUUCAGCACUGAAAAGGUCUCUGGAACACGCUGGAAAUGCAGGACAAGUGCCAAGACCGGUGUGGUUUAUGUUCGUUCUGCAUAUUUGGAGACCUCAGGAGCAUCCGGAGAACACAGGCAUCCUGCUCCACCCAAACAGCCUGCAAGGCUCACAGGGUACAAAGCCAGGCACUCCGAAGCAGCCGGCUCUGGAUGUCUCUCCCAUUCUCCAUGUAUCUGGAUGCUCAAGAGCAGAGGAUCUAUCAACUGCAGACCAAGCAGAGGCAGAGGCAGGCAGAACCGGAGCAGUAAUGCAGCCAGAUCCAGCAGCUCAUCCAGGAGCUGGAGGCCACCGCCAGCUGCAGGAGGAAGCUCGGACACAGCCCCUGUAUUUCAGAGCUGCCAGGAGUGACACUGCUCAGACUGCACAAUUCCUUCUGCGUGUGAAUCUGGCUUGGGAGAGCACGCUGCUCACAUGUCGGUUCAGCCUUGUGUUUGUCUGCCUGAUGUCCACUCAGGCACCUUUAGUCAUUAAAGGAUUUUGACUACAGGCCGUGAUCAGAUCCAGAUGGCAAACAGAUUCUGGGAUAUGAAGAGAGCAGAUCCUGAAAAUCUGUGCAGGAUUACUUGCUUAAUCUGCAUCAUUCCUUCACGACACCUGCUUCUAAUCUCUUUCAGCACCCCUUAAACCAGAAGAAUUAUGUCUAUUUUAAAAACUUGAUAGUGCAAUAUUCUCAGUGCACUGGAAGACAAAAUCAGCCACGUGCUGCUGGUGCUGGAGUAUCAGAUCUCAGCGUGCUGGACAGCAGAAUUUUGCUCAGCACAGCUGGCUUGUCCAGAAGGAGAGCAGCAUUUUAGAAUCCGAGUGGUACUUUUCUCCUUAUUACUCAAAGUGGAAAUGGUUUAUUUCACUUAAUUCGGUGAUAGUGAGUGUGACUGAGGGCAAUCCCGAUGCCAGCUGCAUGUAGGAAACUCCUGGAAAGAAGAACAAAGCCAUCGAGCCAUCUGCUCUCCAUGUCCACGAAGGCAUGCACAAGAACUAAUGGGUGUAUCCUACAUCAAGAAAGAUUCAAGUUAGGAACAGCUUCUAAUGGAGAGGAGAAUAAAGCAGGUGAACAUGCUGCCAGGGGCCUGAGGAUUCAGCAUCAGGAGAUCUUCAAGGACAGAUAAACAGAAGGCGAGGCACCCAUAGGUUCCCCUGUCACAGAACUGGAAGAUGGGCCAUCAACCUCUUGAGAUUCCUGCCAGCCUUGCUCAUUUCCUGUACCCAGCUUUGUUCAUACCCUGAAAUUCAUUUGUCUUCUUCAAAGCCCCAUCACAGAGUCUUCUUUAGCAUUCACGUACUACCAACAUAUCUCUUGCCAGGGUGACUCCUCUCUAGAAAAGUGACUGUGCUUGAGCCUUGGAUGGGUGCUUGCUUCCUACUGUGGUUCACCUAACAUCCACGAGACUCAGUGCCUGCUUUGUGUUGUAAGUGGUGUCCCAUCUUGAGAUGUGUUGCCCGUGUUCCUGUGCUGGAUAGUAGUGUUGAUCUGUGGAAAUAUUCCCUCUUUCUUGGAACCUCAUUCCAAUGCUUCUGCAGGCUUGUUCACAGAAGACUGCCUUCUGUCUCUCAAUGCUGUUUUCCCAGCAGAAGAUAAAAAAAGAAAAAUGUGUCGGGAAUUGCUGCACAUGAAGAAGAUGGAAGACCUACGAGUGCAAGACUAUUGCAGAGAACGCUGUGCAGCAGAGUAGGAAGAGCGUGGUGAAGCGGAGGUACUGCUUGAGUUGACAAAAGAAACAGCACCAAAAGCUCAUCUGACUGUACUGCCAGCUGAUCAGCUCUUCUGCAUGGUGCCAGGGCAAGUCAGCUUGGGCUCUCAGACUUGUAUGCCUUCUGUUGGCAGCUGGGUGAGCUGUACUAAUGGAAGGGGGACUCUUCUGGUUGCUUUAACACCUAUGGUGUGCCCAUCCAUUCCUGCACUGGGAGGUUUUCCAGAACUCUGACACAAAGGAGCAGCUGUGGAAGAAGGCAGGUAGGAGGUGAGACAAAAGCACAAGUCAGACUGGGGACAGAAGUUAUAGUUUUUAUUCAGACAUUGCACGGCGUGCGCAGGACAUCGAGCACAUUGCUAAAAUAUGGCUGCAGCACCAAAUGCUGCCUGCUGCCCUAACAUAUGGGGGCUGUGAAUAACCCAUGGCUUGUUGUGGUCCUGGAGUACCAAAGCACCGCUGCUUUUCUUUAAUUACAAAUGUUUAAGCUAUAUCUUUCCAUUCCAUCAUGCAGAUGUCCUGAAGCACCACGGCAGCAUCGGAGCAGGUGUUUUGUGAGAAGGCAUGUUAUGAUUGAAGCUACAAGAACGUGCGCUUAUAUUUACACAGGGUUUAUUUACAAGCACACCUGACCUGGGACAGUGACAGCUGAAGAGCAAGCCUGCUCCAUCCCCACAGUCCCAGCAGGCAGCAUGUCUCCACACCUGAGCAGAAGACAGCAUGGUGCAGUGUUCAGACUGUGCUAAUCCUGUCGUGUGUUUUGAAGAUGAUGUGUUUCCUAUUGCCCUUCACCUCGUGGCUGCACAGAUCCCAUCUGCUGGAUGGCAAUCUUAGAGGAUGCUGAUGGGAAAUCCCAGGAAGCUGCUCUCUGAUCUAAGUCACGCUGCUGGUAGAGGGAAGUCUGACACAUGCAGGCAUGGCACAGGGUGUUCCCUGCCGCCUGGCACACACUGCAGUCGAUAGCCCUCAGCAGGAACUUGCAUUCAAUAUCAUACUGUCUAAGAGGCUUAAAAUUGACUGCAAAGCUUCAGUAUGACUACAGAAAAAAUCUUGUUUUCAGUUUUUCCUCUGGUAGAUCGCUCCAGAAUGAGACAGAGCAAUUUGGUAAUAUAUUCAUAGAAUAUGGAUAGUGCAUCUGCACUGGAGUAUUUGGAAUUGCAUUAUGUAAUAUGAAAAGCAGUCAUUCAUCUGAACUUGUACUGUGGUACCACCUAAAAUACUUGGUGAUGUGCAGCUCAGAGGCCUCAGAAGCAAAAAUAGGGUCUUCUAUUUAACUGGUGUAGGUGAAUUUUUUUCCCUCCCUUAAUGAGAUUAUAUUUAACUUCUUUUUGAGGUUAAAUGACCCACUGUAUUUUCUGCUAAGCAGUUUGACACAGCAUAGGACAUAUUUACCAAAAAAAAAUCUGCUUUUUAUUUUGUAGCCACUCUGUGCUAAUUUAUGGGGCACUGACAGUUCUUAUAUCAAAGGGACAAUGAUAAAUCACACCACAAACACUGUACACCAAACUUGAUUUUAUAAUCCUGUCACUCUUCCCUUCAGCCAUCACUUCUCUGCACUAAGGAGACUUUCAGCUUUUCCUCAUAUGGAAGAUAUUCUUUGUAUUUUAUUUGCCUUGUUGCUCUUCUCUGAAACCCUUCCAACUCUAUUUUUCUUGAGAGAAGCCAACCACAGUUCCAUAUGGUCAUCAUGACACAGUCUCCGCUAUGGCUCUGUUCAGUGGCAUAUCUCUGAUCUGUUCUCUGUUAUUUUCCUAA